UACGAAAGGUGCAAGCGUUACUCGGAAUCACUGGGCGUAAAGCGCACGUAGGCGGACUUACAGGUCAAUUGUGAAAUACCUGAGCUCAACUCAGGAACUGCAGUUGAAACCGUUUGUCUUGAAUACCUGAGAGGGUGGGGGAAUACCUGGUGGAGAAGUGAAAUUCGUAGAGAUCAGGUGGAACACCGGAGGCGAAGGCGCCUGCCUGGCAGUGUAUUGACGCUGAGGUGCGAAAGUGCGGGGAGCAAACAGG
rnacentral:rRNA from 2 species